rnacentral:rRNA from 1 species
UACGAAGGGGGCUAGCGUUGCUCGGAAUGACUGGGCGUAAAGGGCGCGUAGGCGGUUUGGACAGUCAGAUGUGAAAUUCCUGGGCUCAACCUGGGGGCUGCAUUUGAUACGUUCGGACUAGAGUGGGGAAGAGGGUCGUGGAAUUCCCAGUGUAGAGGUGAAAUUCGUAGAUAUCGAGAGGAACACCGGUGGCGAAGGCGGCUAUCUGGACAGAAACUGACGCUGAGACGCGAAAGCGUGGGGAGCAAACAGG